rnacentral:lncRNA from 15 species
AGAGAUUCGGGCUUCUUUUCAUCCGCACCGUUGUCAUUCAUUUCGGUAACGUUUUCCCCCCUUUAAGUCUCUGACCUAAAGUUAAUCACCCAUAGCUAGAGAAGGAUCUUGUGGGAUUUGGUCAUGUGUAGUAAAGAAUUUGAGUGAAUUGUUAGAAAAAAAAAUUUUAAAGUCAAAGUCUAGCAAACGUGAUAUUUUAAAAUAAAACCGGUUGAUUAAAGAAAUGUGCUUUUGUGAUGAUAGGCCACAAAUGGGAAACAUCCAAGCAGAGGUGGGGCUCGAGUUCAACAACACGGCAUCACCCGAUCGAAUCCCACAGGCCGAUGUUGUUGCAGAAACCUUGAGAGUCGCUGUGAAUAACGCAAGCAACACCUUCAACCUCAGUAUCGAUCCAGCCUCCAUCGAAGUCAUUCGAUCAACAACAACUACAAGGCCAAGGACAACUGGAAUCACUGCAGCUCCUUCACCAGUUGUGCUUCUCACAGCAACCUUGCAAGAACCAUUUGUAGAAGAACUCAACAAUCGCAGCAGCGCGGAAUACAGAAAUCUUGAAAGACAAGUUGUAGCAAUCGUACGUACAAUUUUAAGUAAAUUCUAACAAUUGUUGCUGUUGUGACUCAACUUUAAAUUCUGUUUGAUUUUACUUAAAAAGCCCUGUGACUUUAAUGCUUCAUGUUUCUCACCACUGUUUCCCGCUUACAGUGCGACUUCAUCUUCAAUGAGAGAUUCGGGCUUCUUUUCAUCCGCACCUUUGUCAUUCAAUUUCGGUAACGUUUCCCCCUUUAAUUUCAAUUCAAUUCAAUUUUAUUUGUAUAGCGCCAAUUCAUAACAGAAGUUAUCUCAGGACACUUUUCAAAUAGAGCAGGUCUAGACCGAACUCUUUAACAUUAAUUACAGAGACCCAACAGUACCACCAUGAGCAAGCACUUGGCGACAAGGGCAAGGAAAAACUGCCUGUUAAAAGGCAGAAACCUAGGACAGAUCCUCCGGCUCUAGGUGGGUGGUCGUCUGUCUCGACCAGUUGGGGUGAGAGAGAGAGAGAGAGAGAGAGAGAGGCAGAGAGAGAGAGCGAGAGACAGACAGACAGACAGGUGCACAGCAACAACACUCUAAGUCUCUGACCUAAAGUUAAUCAACUCAUAACUAGAGAAGGAUCUUGUGGGAAUUGGUCAUGUGUAAUAAAGAAUUUGAGUGAAUUGU